GACAGAGGGUGCAAACGUUGUUCGGAAUUACUGGGCGUAAAGCGCGUGUAGGCGGUUCAGUAAGUCCGCUCUGAAAGCCCGGGGCUCAACCCCGGGAGGCGGGUGGAUACUGCUGAACUCGAGUCCGGAAGAGGCGAGUGGAACUCCUGGUGUAGCGGUGAAAUGCGCAGAUAUCAGGAGGAACACCGGUGGCGAAGGCGGGUCUCUGGGCCGAUACUGACGCUGAGGAGCGAAAGCGUGGGGAGCGAACAGG
rnacentral:rRNA from 1 species